GGAGUUUGAGCCUGGAUCUCAACCAACGCUGGCGGCAUGCUUAACACAUGCAAGUCCAACGCUUCAUCGGGGCUUGCUCCGGUGGGGAGUGGCGCACGGGUGAGUAGCGCGUGGGAACCUGCCCAGUAGUGGGGGAUAACCGAGGGAAACUUCGGCUAAUACCGCAUGCGCCCGGGGGAGUGAUCUCUCGGGGAAAGAUUUAUCGCUAUUGGAGGGGCCCGCGUCGGAUUAGCUUGUUGGUGGGGUAACGGCCUACCAAGGCAGUGAUCCGUAGCUGGUCUGAGAGGAUGAUCAGCCACACUGGGACUGAGACACGGCCCAGACUCCUACGGGAGGCAGCAGUGGGGAAUAUUGGACAAUGGGCGCAAGCCUGAUCCAGCAAUGCCGCGUGAGUGAGGAAGGCCUUAGGGUUGUAAAGCUCUUUCGCACGCGACGAUGAUGACUGUAGCGUGAGAAGAAGCCCCGGCUAACUUCGUGCCAGCAGCCGCGGUAAUACUAAGGGGGCGAGCGUUGAUCGGAUUUACUGGGCGUAAAGGGCGCGCAGGCGGCUAUUUUUGUCAUGCGUGAAAGCCCCGUGCUUAACCUGGGAACAGCGCUUGAGACUGGAUGGCUAGACAUCGUGCGAGGAGAGUGGAAUUCCCAGUGUAGAGGUGAAAUUCAUAGAUCUAGGGAAGAACACCGGUGGCUAACGCGGCUCUCUGGACGGAUACUGAGGCUGAGGAGCGAAAGCGUGUCGAGCACUUUGAUUAGAUACCCUGGUAGUCCACGCUGAAAACGAUGUGUGCUAGACGUUUGCGAGCCUAGCUCUUCGGUGUCACAGCUACGCUGUAAGUACACUUCCUGGGGAGUACGCCGCGUGUCAAACUCAAA
rnacentral:rRNA from 1 species